rnacentral:rRNA from 1 species
CACGGGGGGAGCAAGCGUUGUUCGGAAUCACUGGGCGUAAAGGGCGUGUAGGCGGUCAAGUAAGUGGAAUGUGAAAUCCCCCGGCUUACCCGGGGACCGGCAUCCCAUACUGCUUGGCUUGAGUACGGGAGAGGAUGUGGGAAUUCCUGGUGUAGCGGUGAAAUGCGUAGAUAUCAGGAGGAACACCGGUGGCGAAGGCGGCAUCCUGGACCAUUACUGACGCUGAUGAGCGAAAGCCAGGGGAGCAAACGGG